AACGAACGCUGGCGGCAGGCUUAACACAUGCAAGUCGAACGAGAUCUUCGGAUCUAGUGGCAGACGGGUGAGGAACACGUGGGAACAUCCCUUUCAGUUCGGAAUAACGUUGGGAAACUAACGCUAAUACCGGAUACGUCCUUCGGGAGAAAGAUUUAUCGCUGAAAGAUUGGCCCGCGUCUGAUUAGCUAGUUGGUGAGGUAAUGGCUCACCAAGGCUACGAUCAGUAGCGGAUCUGAGAGGAUGAUCAGCCACAUUGGGACUGAGACACGGCCCAAAAUCCUACGGGAGGCAGCAGUAGGGAAUUUUCCAUAAUGGGCUGAAGCCUGAUGGAGCAACGCCGCGUGCAGGAUGAAGGCCUUCGGGUCGUAAACUGCUUUUAUAUGUGACGAAUAUGACGGUAGCAUAUGAAUAAGGAUCGGCUAACUCCGUGCCAGCCGCCGCAGUAA
rnacentral:rRNA from 1 species